rnacentral:misc_RNA from 1 species
CAUGUCCACACAUGAGCAGUCACGGAUUGGUGUCCCGCGGACUCCUUGCCUCUCGCAAUCAACCACCGAAGAGGCCAUCCUUCUUAGUCCUGUGCUCAUUUGUAUCUUUAGGCCAUCCUUUUUAGUCAUGUGCAUUGCGUGUGCCAUCUACCCAGCUCUGUAGGAAGUCAACAUACCCUAUGUGCCAGUUCGCCUCACCACCUCGAGCGGGAGGCACAACCACAAUGUGGUCGUCGCGCGCAUCUUAACGACACAACCCUUGGGCCCCAUGCUAGCUGGGCUCCUGAAGUAUCACAAGCUCUUGCGAAUGUAGCAGGCUUCGGGGACUUCGACCGUCAGCCUAGACCUUGGUAGGUCAUUAAGCCACCCUCGUCGAGAAAACGGUCUAUCCACCGACRGGCCCCCUCCGUUCCCUGCGGGCG